UUUAGGCAAAAUGGGAAAAAAAAUUAGGUCAUCUCUCUUUCACGAUUUAGAAACUUCAAUCUCUCAAGUGACAAAAAAAAAAGAAACUUCAAUCUCUCUUGAUUUUUUGUAUCGACGAUUUUGUCGACGAAGCCAUCAACGAUGACAACUCUGUCGCCUCUCUCCAUCCCGCCACCAUGGAAAAGCUCCAAUCCAAAACCGAUCAAAAUCUAAACCAUUCGAUUUCAAUCCCAAUCGAAUCAAUUUCGAUUUCACUCUCUUCACUUGGAUGUUGAAGAGUGAUAGUAAGGAGGUUUCUGAAAGUCAAGGCACGUGAGGUGGUCGGAUACAUCUUCGAGAAACAGAGCACCUUGGCCACGGCAGUUAUACUCGAGACUUACGCGUCCGCCACCGUCGGGUCUCUCACGUACGCGGCCGGAGAAAGGGAAGUAAGGAACUAGAGCGCGAGAGAGUGCUGACUUGAGACGAUCCGAGAGAGAAACCGGGUCGGAAACGGGUGAGUAAACGAGGAGGUACUCGAUGGUGAAACGGAGGAAAAGCUGAGAAUCUAAGGCGGAGAGAGACAAAACAGAAGAAGGUGUUUGGUCGGAAGGAGUAAUAACUGUGGCUUCUUUCACAUUAACCAAGGAUCCCAUGUCGAAUCAAUUUCAAUUUCAGCUAAAACCCUAAUAGUAAGUGAUGUUGCGAGCUUUAGUGCGGCCUCUCGAGUGGUGGUGUUUAGGAAGCAGAGGGAGCGGCCAUGGCGGACCCGAAGCUUCUAAAUUCGUUAACAGACAUCUCUUCCCUUAUAUUCAUAUUCAUAAGUUCGCUAAGGAAGAAGGAGGACUAUCUGCAGAUGUGAUUAAAAGAGCAUUCAAAGAAACUGAAGAGGAUUUUUGUAAUAUGUAAGGUUGCUGCAACGUUAUCUACUGAUCAUAACGUUGCUGUUGAGGAAGUGAGAAAGGAGGUUAAGGUUAUCUUCGAUGCUUACCUCAAACGUGGAGCCAAGACACAACUAAAAGGACAGUAGCAUGUGACACAAAUGAACAAAAAGACAGUAGCAUGUGACAACAAACGCAAGUGGAAGACAGUAGCAUUUCUUUAUAAGCUUGUUUCCUUCUCCUUUUCGAAACAGAGAACACAUGUUACGUGACAUAAAGCUUGUGUAGUUCUCUUAGCUGUGUUUCAGAAAUAUUUUCUUUAUAAGUAAAUCGUAUGGCCAUUUGUUCCAGCAAACCCCAUUUGCUUCUCUUCAUCUUCUGAAAUUUUGUAUCUUUUAAGUUUUUUUGUAUCUCUUCAUCUUCUCAAAUCAUUUUAUCUCACCACA